UACAGAGGGGGCAAGCGUUGUUCGGAAUUACUGGGCGUAAAGGGCGCGUAGGCGGCCUGCUAAGUCGAACGUGAAAUCCCUGGGCUCAACCCAGGAACUGCGUCCGAUACUGGUUGGCUUGAAUCCGGGAGAGGGAUGUGGAAUUCCAGGUGUAGCGGUGAAAUGCGUAGAUAUCUGGAGGAACACCGGUGGCGAAGGCGGCUACCUGGACCGGUACUGACGCUGAUGCGCGAAAGCUAGGGUAGCAAACAGG
rnacentral:rRNA from 1 species